GAAGGUGGCAAGCGUUAUUCGGAUUUACUGGGCGUACAGGGAGCGUAGGCGGUUCGGUAAGCCCUCUGUGAAAUCUCCAGGCUUAACCUGGAACAGUCGGAGGGGACUGCUGGGCUAGAGGACGGGAGAGGAGCGCGGAAUUCCCGGUGUAGCGGUGAAAUGCGUAGAGAUCGGGAGGAAGGCCGGUGGCGAAGGCGGCGCUCUGGAACGUUUCUGACGCUGAGGCUCGAAAGCGUGGGGAGCAAACAGGAUUAGAUACCCUGGUAGUCCACGCCUUAAACUAUGAAUACUAAGUGUCGGCGGGUUACCGCCGGUGCCGCAGCUAACGCAUUAAGUAUUCCGCCUGGGAAGUACGGCCGCAAGGUUG
rnacentral:rRNA from 1 species